rnacentral:rRNA from 1 species
UACGGAGGGUGCAAGCGUUGUUCGGAAUCAUUGGGCGUAAAGCGCGUGUAGGCGGCUUGGCAAGUCGGUUGUGAAAUCCCGGGGCCCAACCCCGGAACUGCAUUCGAAACUGCCUCGCUAGAGUCCCGGAGAGGAAGGCGGAAUUCCCGGUGUAGAGGUGAAAUUCGUAGAUAUCGGGAGGAACACCAGCGGCGAAGGCGGCCUUCUGGACGGUGACUGAC